ensembl:lncRNA
GGCUGAAUGCCACCAAGGAAGGUUCUCUUGUUGGAGAUCUCUCCUUUGUGGAGAUUUUUUUUACAAGCCUAGAUCUUCAGAGGUGGGUGAGCAUCCUUCUUCUUGUGACAUCUUUUCGUUACGUUGAUCCUGAUGCUGUUGCACACGUACCAGCAAGCAGAGGGACAGGUGAAGGAAGAAAAAUUUCCUGAGAAGAGACUGUACAAUGAAGGAAGAGGUUCCACACUGUGGAGGAGCCUGUGGCAGAAAGCAGACGAUGUUAAAAGUAGACGGUUCCCUAAAGCUGGCUGACCAGAUCAGACGCGCUGUCUUGCUCUGGGUUCCAUCACACUGUGAAGGGGAGGCGGCAUCGCGCAGCCCUGCACGGAGCAGCCCUGCAUCACCUCCUGGCAGCCAAAACCCCGCUUAGCAGAUACUGUGGAAAACAUCAGGCCAGGCAAAAAUAAUAUGCUCCAGGCUUUUCCUUGGCUCCACGCUAAUGAACACACACCCACCAGAUGAGCAGACAGUGCUGCUGCUGCCCGGCCUCGCUCCUGGAGGUGGCUCAGUGCGUCGGAUCCAGGUCUGACCCGAGACUGAGGUAUGACUCCGCUUGUUUGGAAGCCACUGAAUUCCUGCUGAAUUCCAGCUUGGAACCUGGCUUCCUGUCCCUGGGCAGCCCUGCAGUUCCCACCAGUGGCACUUCACCCUCAGCAUGUUCUCCCAAGCAGGGAGCAGCACUCAGGCAAGGCCCACGUGUGGACAAAAGGAACCACCUCCAUGGAAGGGUCAGAGGAACAAAGGAAGGAGUGAAUGGAGGUCAGCUGGCACCAGGGUAUGCUCGGAUCCAUCGUGCCUUAGGAACGGCUCCCAGCCCACUUCUGACAUUUAUCUCACAGGUCCUGUUAAGAAAAAUCCCUGACUUCUGCUGUUGUUGCCUGCAUCGAGCUGGGAGGAUAACAGGGAAUGCUGCUUGUCAGCUGUCGUGCAAGAGCAGACCUGGUGUUCUGCGCAGGGUCUCAGAGCGGCACGGUGAUGAUGUCAGCAGCAAAGGGGUGCUUAUGGCUGAUACAGCUCCUGCCAAGCCCACGGAUGAGCUGAGGCACAGCACAGCCACAGAGCAUCCACAUGUAGGUGUCACACAGCAUCUUCUGAAAUAACAGAGGCGUUACAGCUCAGAACAGCACACCAUCAGAUGAUGAAUCCAGACCUCUUCUCGUCAUCCCUGCUUGGAGCUGCACCAAAUGGGUUUAUUGCAGGAGUCCAUGCCUGAUGUCUCCCAGCGGGGAUGCGGGGCAGCCUGAGCAGCCCAGCUCAGCCCAGGGAGCAGCCAUUAAACACGAUUCUAUUGACUAAAGAAACCAAGAAGUGGAUAUUGACAUCGUCAGAAACUGUGCAGGCAAAUAAUUUGCCUCAAGAUUGUAUUCUCACCAUACUGUUAUCUACAUUUUUUGAGAUGUUUUUAUUUUCUAUUCUCCGGCUUUUAUGAAUCAGAAAGUCUUGGCUCUGGCUUUUGUGAGGAGAUAUGGUUUACACCUGGACUGCUGGUGUUGGAAUUUUAAAUAUUAAAAGCUAACGUUCAGUCUAGAUCAGCCCUACACCAUCACUCCUACAGGGAGCUGCUGUGCUGAAUGUUUCUGUUUCUGAGCACAGUAUCAACCACCUCUGUCCUUGUCAAGCCCUAUGGAAAGGAACAUUUACCAGACUCUGUGAGAAUGGUCUGAAAAAUAUCUGGAAAUGACAUUUUAUGAGAGAGUGUGCUCUGGCUGGAAGACAUCAGAAGGUUGGUGUCUCGCCUUAGAAGUUCUGUGUUUCCUCCCUCUACAACCGCUGUCAUCACAGCACCCCCACCUCACUGCCUUUAUUUUAGGAGAUGCUUUCUCUGUGCUCUCACGUCAGUCUCAGUGGGGAAGAUUCCAAAAGGGGCAGGAAGGAGCUGCAGUCUAUUUGUGGCUGCCACGGCACCUUCUGCACCACGCACUGCUCCGUGCUGCCCGCAGAGCGGCUGAGCACAGCACCCACUGCGCACUGAGCAGUGCCCACACACCGCACAUAUUGCUGAGUUUGGGUCUGGGUGCCGCUUGAAGUUUCCCCACAUCAAUCACAGCCAUGCAGGUCUCUCCUCUAUGAUCAUACUUCAAAUUCCCGUGUAUUCCACCUAUGUAACACAGAAGGAACACCUACCAUGACAAACUCACGGGGUUGGGCAGCACGAUGCUCUCUCCCCUUCUGGCUGCUUCCCAGCUGCCUGUGCUUGCAGGGUUUAGGAGACCUCUGUGGUUGUUUUGAGGAGUACCCUUCCUGCACUUGUCUGUAUGUGGUCACCUAAGGACAAGCCAGGCAGGUCUCCUCUUGCCAGCUUGCCAAGGAGAAUGGCUGUCCUUAAUUAAACAGAUAACAUCAGUGGCCAAGAUGCUCUGCAUUAGUGUAAGCAGCUCUCGAUCAAAGGAUUCUACGUCCAUGAUGAUUAGACACAGCCAAUGGCCCCUUCCUUCCAAGGGAAGGUCGUUGUUUCCACCACAUGCAUCUCCCCCCUUCCAAAGGCUCAGACACCCACCUGGGAUCCAUCUCAGGGCAGCCACUGCUCUGGCUGUGUCUGUACCACAUCCCAGCCCUGUGGCACUCACAUCCCUUUCCCCUUACUAUGGUCUGGCCAUGGCCCCACACUGCAGUGCAGCAGGGCUGGCACACACUGCUCCAGCAGCACAGCACGGCGUGGGCAGGCAGCUGUGUGCCCAGCACCCUGAGCUGACACCACACGCUUGGCUCUAAUAGUAAAAUCAGGGGGACUAUUAAAGUAGAUUAUGCACUAAUAAUUAUGCAAAUAUUCCUUCAGUGAAACUAUAAAAAUCUCAUGAAGAUUUAACACCUGGCUAUUACAUGGAGAGAAAUAUGUGGAAAUGAAAAUGAAGAUCAUUAACUUUAAGGAGUUAGGGGAAUUUUUUCUGCUAUCAUUUAAAUACACGGCUUGGGAUGCCUUUGAAGGUUUAACCUGGAGGAGAUUAUCAGUUAUAACACUGUUGAAAUGCAGCUGCAGGACGACAAUGGGCUCUGCUUAGAGGAGGGAGGGCAGCAGAGCCCACCCAGCACAUCCCUUCAGAGAGGGAGAACCACAGCACUACAGUACUCAUAGAGAGCUGAACUUUGUCAUCCCAGACAAGUGUAGGGGCAGCUCCCAGACAGCAGUGAGGAUGGAGCAGCAGAACCACUCAG